rnacentral:pre_miRNA from 1 species
AAAAAGGCAAACCUUGAGUUUCCGUGUCCAAUUUUGACUGUCCGUCUUAUAUGAAAUUUUUUUAUAAUUCAUAUUUUUAUUGUUGUUAGAUGAUAAAACAUGAUUAAUAUUUUAUGCGUGACUUGUCUUUUUAAAUUUUUUUAAUAUUUUUUUCAAAUAAGACAGACGGUCAAACGUUGAGCACGGAAACCAGGGUU